rnacentral:rRNA from 1 species
CCUACGGGUGGCAGCAGUGGGGAAUCUUCCGCAAUGGGCGAAAGCCUGACGGAGCAACGCCGCGUGAUCGAAUGAAGGCCUUCGGGUUGUAAAGAUCUGUUGACAGGGACGAAGAAGCAAUGCGAAUAGUUUUGUGUAUGACGGUACCGGGUGAGAAAGCUCCGGCUAACUACGGGCCAGCAGCCGCGGUAAUACGUAGGGAGCAAGCGUUGUCCGGAAUUACGGGGCGUAAAGGGCGCGUAGGUGGGCGCUGAAGUCAGGUGUGAAAACUCCGGGCUCAACCUGGAGACUGCACUUGAAACUGGGUGUCUUGAGGGCAGGAGUGGCAAGUGGAUUUCCUCGUGUAGCGGU